rnacentral:rRNA from 1 species
AUUGAACGCUGGCGGCAGGCCUAACACAUGCAAGUCGAGCGGAGCGGCGGACGGGUGAGUAAUGCCUAGGAAUCUGCCUGGUAGUGGGGGAUAACGUACGGAAACGGGCGCUAAUACCGCAUACUAUCAGAUGAGCAUAGGUAGGAUUGGCGAGUUGGUGGGGUAAUGGCCUACCAAGGCGACGAUCCGUAACUGGUCUGAGAGGAUGAUCAGCCACACUGGACCUUAGACACGGUCCAGACUCCUACGUGAGGAAGCAGUGGGGAAUAUUGGACAAUGGGCGCAAGCCUUAUCCAGCCAUACCGCGUGGGUGAAGAAGGCCUUCGGGUUGUAAAGCCCUUUUGUUGGGAAAGCGGUACCCAAAGAAUAAGCACCGGCUAACUUCGUGCCAGCCGCCGCGGUAAUAC